CUCAGCCUGGAGAUGAGAGAGAGUGAGGGUGAAGGACACAGAGAGACAGGAGACGGUACAAAUCCCCAGUGUUUAUCAGUAACACAAUUACUGAUCACAUUAAUGUUCAGUGUCAGACACCCAGUGACUGUAAACACAAUCUCCCACAGCCUGGAGAUGAGAGAGAGUGAGGGUGAAGGACACAGAGAGACAGGAGACGGUACAAAUCCCCAGUGUUUAUCAGUAACACAAUUACUGAUUUUUUUCUUCAGCACGACUGCGCAAGUCGGCCAGUGAGAACAGCGAGAAGAGUUUAAAAGGAAGACAGAUUUACAGAGCGAGCGUCAGAGGAACGGGAGACAGGGUAGGAAGGCUUUGGCUCAACGGGGCUUCGGCGAUAAAGGGUCGAGGCGAGGCUGAGCCAGUCACGAUGUGACGCACCCCACACUGGUCUACAGUCUCUAAUUCUCCGAGGAGCUGGUACAUGAACCCAGGCAAUUCCCCGAUGAUGUGCGGAAGAGGAGGAAUCUGAAGAGGAUGGCAGCGGUAAUGGGGAACUCUAAAGUCAGGAGGGCAGGUGAAGAUCUGUGUGGUGAGCGGAGCGAUUCGAUCAUUCCCCUCGUUAGGUCCCUGCGCUGGACCUGGUGAAUUGUUCCAAUGCUCAUGGACUCCUUACCAGUUGGAACAAUGACUCCGUUUGAUGGUACUUUCUCUCUGCCCCUUUGUCGGCCAAGUUUAUCCCUCUGAAUUAUUGAUGAUUUGACUACACGUGUACCAUGAUGACAGAUUUAAUGAGAAAGAGCCCAGUGAACAUACCU